rnacentral:tRNA from 1 species
GAUCCCGUAGCUCAGCUGGAUAGAGCAAUUGCCUUCUAAGCAAUAGGUCGUGCGUUCGAAUCGCAUCGGGGUCGCCA